rnacentral:rRNA from 1 species
UGCCGGGGUCAACUCGGAGGAAGGUGGGGAUGACGUCAAGUCAUCAUGCCCCUUAUGUCCAGGGCUUCACACAUGCUACAAUGGCCGGUACAAAGGGCUGCGAUGCCGCGAGGUUAAGCGAAUCCUUAAAAGCCGGUCUCAGUUCGGAUCGGGGUCUGCAACUCGACCCCGUGAAGUCGGAGUCGCUAGUAAUCGCAGAUCAGCAACGCUGCGGUGAAUACGUUCCCGGGCCUUGUACACACCGCCCGUCACGUCAUGAAAGUCGGUAACACCCGAAGCCAGUGGCCUAACCCUCGGGAGGGAGCUGUCGAAGGUGGGAUCGGCGAUUGGGACGAAGUCGUAACAAGGUAGCCGUACCGGAAGGUGCGGCUGGAUCACCUCCUUUCUAAGGAGCACCAGCAAAACGCCCCA